rnacentral:rRNA from 1 species
CCUACGGGCGGCAGCAGUGGGGAAUAUUGGACAAUGGGCGAAAGCCUGAUCCAGCCAUGCCGCGUGUGUGAAGAAGGCCUUCGGGUUGUAAAGCACUUUCAGUGGGGAAGAAAGCCUUGGGGCUAAUACCCUCGAGGAAGGACAUCACCCACAGAAGAAGCACCGGCUAACUCCGUGCCAGCAGCCGCGGUAAUACGGAGGGUGCGAGCGUUAAUCGGAAUUACUGGGCGUAAAGCGCGCGUAGGCGGUCUGAUAAGCCGGUUGUGAAAGCCCCGGGCUCAACCUGGGAACGGCAUCCGGAACUGUCAGGCUAGGGUGCAGGAGAGGAAGGUAGAAUUCCCGGUGUAGCGGUGAAAUGCGUAGAGAUCGGGAGGAAUACCAGUGGCGAAGGCGGCCUUCUGGACUGACACUGACGCUGAGGUGCGAAAGCGUGGGUAGCAAACAGGAUUAGAUACCCUGGUAGUC